UACGUAGGGGGCAAGCGUUGUCCGGAUUCAUUGGGCGUAAAGAGCGUGUAGGCGGCCAGGUAGGUCGGUUGUGAAAACUGGAGGCUCAACCUUCAGAGGUCGACCGAAACCAUCUGGCUAGAGUCCGGGAGAGGAGAGUGGAAUUCCUGGUGUAGUGGUGAAAUGCGCAGAUAUCAGGAAGAACACCCGUGGCGAAAGCGGCUCUCUGGAACGGUACUGACGCUGAGACGCGAAAGCGUGGGGAGCGAACAGG
rnacentral:rRNA from 1 species